GCGAGGGCCGCACUUCCGCUCGCUCCCGGCGUUCCGUGCGCCCAAGGGUGCGAGGGCGCGGCCUGGGGGCGACUUCUGGAGCUCAAGCCUGGACCUCGAGGGCUUCUCCACAGCUGCGAAGGCCGGAGAGGCGAGGCACAGGCAGGUUUGGAAUGUCAUCUUAAAAGCCCCAGAGCCAUGGAAGAGAAAAUGGAGAAAUGCCAAGCCAAGUUAAGAAUUUGCUGUUAGAAAAAUGGCCCAGAGAGAGUGACCAGAGUUCAAGAAGGGGCAGGGGAGUGCAGAGGGCAUUUCCACUCUCACACCUACAGAGUUUCACUAUGUAGUUCAGGCUACCUUUGAACUCACUGUGAAGACCAGACUUGCCUCGAACUUGUGGUGAUCCUCCUGCCUCAGACUCCCAGAGUGCUGGGAUUACAGGUGUGUGCCACCAUGACCAACUAUAGAUCUUGCUAAGAGCAGCAAGCAGUACUCAUAC
ensembl:lncRNA